GUGCACGCCGACUCGGCCGCUCAGCAUAAACAAGGGACGCGUCAUCGGUCGAUCGGCGUUUCCGUGGUGACGGAGGGCGGUGGGAGCUGCGUUGCCUUGGUAACAGGAGGAGGCGAGGAGAUGAUGGAGGACCUUCCCCGUUGCCUGUCUCUGUUUCUCGGAGAGGUUUACUGCUAGCGGCUUCUUGACUUGCAAAACAUUUGUGAUGGGGCGUGUCAAAUAAUGGAGCUGAAUCAUCAGUACACUGAAUCCAGUUGUGACCAUAAUAAAAGUCCUCUGUCUUGAACUCAA